AGGAAAUGUUUCAGGAAAAGUUGAUCAGGAGCGUAAGAAGGUAUUAUAGUUACAUAUCUAAUAUAUAUGAAAAAAUUACUCAAUUCUGCAUGAUUGCUAAAAGCAGUACAAUUAUAUUUGAAAUUACAAUUACUGUAGCAAAAACUCAAAAUGCAAUUACUGUAGCAAAAAAAAGAGCAGAGGCAGGAAAAUCGACAUGGCGCCAGAUAUUAGCGAUGUGCAUUUUCACUUUUUUGACGACUUUUUGUAUAGUUUCAAUAGUAGUACGUGAAUAUAACAUUUUAAACACAAGAAGCUUCAGCUGGAAACACAAGAAGCUGCAAGUAGACUGAAAAUGUUUGCUGACAAGCAAUGAAAACAAUGAUUAAGGUGGCUCCCUACUUAGAAGACAAAGCAGUAUCCAUCCUAGAAUUAAUUCUAAUAGAUUUAAAAAUUGCUAAGCAAAUAGACUUAUUUUUAAAUAUAAAAUGUAGAAUUUCGUAUUUUUGUAAAAUAUUGUAACUUAAGAUAUGUACCUUUUAGGUACUAUUUAAAACACGAGUAGGAGUGUUUUAUCAUAUUUAAAACGCGAGGCGCAGCCGAGCGUUUUAGAUGUGAUAAAACGCGAGUUCGAGUGUUUUGAAUAGCUUAAAAUACGACUACAAAAGAAUGCUAAUUAGGAUGAACAAUUAUAUAAUCAUACUAAUUAGGAUGAAGAAUUAUAUAAAGAAUACUAAUGAAGAUGAGUUUUAUCAGAUAUAAAGUCACUCCACGUGCCAUAUUAUGGCUGACAUGAUUUGUCACAAGGUUUAUGAAUUUUUAAUGAGUAUUUUAAGUAAUGUUUAAUAAACGAGUAGGAGUGUUUUAUCACAUAUAAAACACGACGCGUAGCGGAGUAGAAACAGAAACCAGAAGUGCCAAAUAAAAAACUCAUUUUCAUCUGAGCGCUUGAUUAAAUUUGGUGUACCACAAGGCUCUAUAUUAGGGCCAUUAUUCUUUUUGUUGUACAUCAAUGAUUUGCCACAUUGUCUAAACAAAACAAAACCGCGGUUGUUUGCUGAUGACACAAAUUUGACUGCACAUGCUUUAGCAAAUUCUAUGACUGACCUAGAGACUGCAGUAAAUUCUGAUUUAGAGAACCUUAGAAAAUGGUUAAUAGCCAAUAAACUUAGCCUCAAUGUAGCUAAGACAGAGUUUAUGUUGAUUGGCUCUAAUUCUAUGAUCAAAAAUAUUUCUGAUUCUCGCCCAAAUGUUUACAUUGAAAAUAUACAAAUUAAACAAGUUCAUGAAUGCAAAACUCUAGGAGUAACAAUUGACCAGCAUUUAUCUUGGAAAAGUAAUACCGAAAAUAUUUGCAAAAAAGUUACAGCAGGAAUCUCUGCUAUUCGUCGGAUCAAACCAUUUGUUGAUCAAGAUACACUUAUUUUGAUAUAUAACACUAUUGUUCGUCCGUACUUUGACUACUGCUGUGAAGUAUGGGAUGUAUUUGGUGAAACUCAAUCAAAAACUGCAAAAUAGAGCGGCAGGAAUGAUUCUGAAUAUAAGCAAUGACGUAGAUUAUACGAUUGCUUUACGUAUUUUGGGCUGGGAGCCACUCCAAACUGAAAGGAAGAAAACUAAAGCAAGAAUGAUGUAUAAGUUAUUAAACAAAAUGGGCCCAAAAUCACUCACAAAUCUAUUUUCGUUUAAGAGUGAGAAAACUAAUUACCACCUUCGGGAUGUCUCAAGUGGUCUUUAUUUACCAAAACCACGUACAAAUAGCA
rnacentral:lncRNA from 1 species